rnacentral:rRNA from 1 species
GAUGAACGCUGGCGGCGUGCCUAAUACAUGCAAGUCGAGCGAACGGACGAGAAGCUUGCUUCUCUGAUGUUAGCGGCGGACGGGUGAGUAACACGUGGAUAACCUACCUAUAAGACUGGGAUAACUUCGGGAAACCGUAGCUAAUACCGGAUAAUAUUUUGAACCGCAUUGUUCAAAAGUGAAAGACGGUCUUUCUGUCACUUAUAGAUGGAUCCGCGCUGCAUUAGCUAGUUGGUAAGGUAACGGCUUACCAAGGCGACGAUGCAUAGCCGACCUGAGAGGGUGAUAGGCCACACUGGAAGUGAGACACGGUCCAGACUACUACGGGAGGCAGCAGUAGGGAAUCUUCCGCAAUGGGCGAAAGCCUGACGGAGCAACGCCGCGUGAGUGAUGAAGGUCUUCGGAUCGUAAAACUCUGUUAUUAGGGAAGAACAUAUGUGGAAGUAACUGUGCACAUCUUGACGGUACCUAAUCAGAAAGCCACGGCUAACUACGUG